GCCAGGCGUGGUGGUGUGCGCCUGUAAUCUCAGCUACUAGGGAGGCUGAGGCAGGAGAAUUGCUUGAACCCAGGAGGUGGAGGCUGCAGUGAGCCAAGAUCAUGCCACUGCACUCCAGCCUGGGCAACAGAGCAAGACUCUGUCUCAA
rnacentral:SRP_RNA from 1 species